rnacentral:rRNA from 1 species
UACAGAGGGUGCGAGCGUUAAUCGGAAUUACUGGGCGUAAAGCGUGCGUAGACGGUUAUUUAAGUCGGAUGUGAAAGCCCCGGGCUCAACCUGGGAAUUGCAUUCGAGACUGAAUAGCUAGGGUGCGGUAGAGGGAAGCGGAAUUUCCGGUGUAGCGGUGAAAUGCGUAGAUAUCGGAAGGAACAUCAGUGGCGAAAGCGGCUUCCUGGACCAGCACCGAACGUCAGGCACGAAAGCGUGGGGAG